UACAGAGGGUGCGAGCGUUGUUCGGAAUUAUUGGGCGUAAAGGGCGCGUAGGCGGUGCGGUAAGUCACCUGUGAAAUCUCCUGGCUCAACUGGGAGCUUGCAGGCGAAACUGCCGUGCUGGAGUGUGGGAGAGGUGCGUGGAAUUCCCGGUGUAGCGGUGAAAUGCGUAGAUAUCUGCAGGAACACCCGUGGCGAAGGCGGCUCGCUGGACCGCAACGGACGCUGAGGAACGAAAGCUAGGGGAGCAAACAGG
rnacentral:rRNA from 1 species